CGUGCGCCUGAAAUGGUUGGUUCCCAGAAGAGAAUUAGUUAGUUCCCGGUCCGUGUGGUGGCCGCACAACUGUUAGUUAGUUCCGUGUCCGUGUGAUGGUUCACAGCAUCCCCCGGCACCGCCAUUUCACGUCUGAGUUCAGGGAAGAAGGGGAAUUUGAAGUGGCUCGGCAGAAAGGACGUGCGAGCCGUGCGGACCUGCGGAUAACCCACAUGUGGGUGCUGCUGAAGGCAGGCCGCUCCUAAGGCAGCGCUCACCUUCCAAGAGUAACCUGGCCAUCUGUUCAAGGACAAUGAAGAGUGGCCUUGAAGUGGCAUCUGCCAGGGAUCUCAGCAGUCACAAAGGUAUCCUGUCUCAUCCUGUGAAUUGUGCCUGUCCAGCUUACCUAAGGAGUCCCUUUUGGAUCCACUGAUACUGCAACAACAAUCAACUCAAUCCCUGGAAAGGUCGUGGAGGCCCUCAUUUUGGAGGUCAUCUCUAUUCACAUGGAUGACAAGAAGGUGAUCAGGAGUAGUCAGCAUGGAUUCACUAGAGGCAGGUCAUGUUUGACUAACCUGAUUGCCUUUUAGUGAGGCCUUCAACAAGGUCUCUCAGAAUAUCCUCACAGACAAAGUCAGGAAUUGUGAACUGGGAAGGUGGACAGUGAGGUGCAUUGAGACCUGGCUGAAGAGCAGAUCCCAGAGGGCUGUAAUCAGUGGCACAGGAUCUAGUUGGAAGCCUGUCACCAGUGGUGUCCCCAAGGUUCAGUACUGAGCCCAGUAUUGUUUCACAAGUUCAUAAGGGACUUGGAUGAAGGAGCAGAUGCCUCCUCAGCAGGUUCACUGACAACACAAAGCUGGGAGGAGUGGCUGAUACCCCAGAGGGCUGCACAGCCCUUGAGAAGGACCUGGACAGGCUGGAGAGAUGGGCAGAGGGGAACUGUCUGAAAUUCAGCAAGGGCAAAUGCAGGGUCCUGCACCUGUGGAGGAAUAACCCCAGGCACCAGCACAGGCUGGGGGCCAACGUGCUGAGGAGCAGCUCUGUGGAGAAGGACCUGGGGAUCCUGGUGGACAACAAAGUGUCCAUGAGCCAGCAGUGAGCCCCUGUGGCCAAGGAGGCCAAUGGAAUCCUGGGGUGCAUUAGGAGGGCAGUGCCAGCAGGUAAAGGGAGCUGAUCCUGCCCCUCUGCCCAGCCCUGGUGAGGUGCACUUGGAAUGCUGUGUCCAGUUCUGGGCUCCUCAGGACAAGAGAAAUGAGUAAGGACUGGGGCAUCUCUAAUGAGGAAAGGCUGAGGGGGCUGGGCCUGUUCAGCCUGGAGAAGAGGCCCUGAGAGGGGACAUCAUCAAUGUCUGUGUGUCUGAAGGAGGGGUGCUAAGAGGAUGGAGCCAGGUUUUGCUCAGUGGUGCCGAGCAAUAGGACAGGAGAAUGGCAGAAACUGAUGCACAGCAAGUUCCACCUGAGCAUGAGGAAGAGCUUCUUUACUGUGUGGGUGACUGAGCACUGGAACAGAUUGUCCAGAGAGGUUGUGAAGUCUCUGAUGCAAUCCUGUGGUCUAGGAUGAUCCUGCUUGAGUAGGGAGCUUGGACCAGAUGACCCACUGUGGUUCCUUUCAACCUGCCCCAUUCUGGGGAUUCUGUGAGGGAAGCAGCACCUCCUGUCUCAGAAAUAAAGGGGAAAAGGAUAAAACUUCACACAGAAGAGUUUUUUGUCCUCUCAUGACAUCACACUUCUAUCAGGAGCCCUUUCUCAGUCUCUCCAUGUUCUUGUGUGCUGUGCAGGUAUAUACAGCCUGUUCUGCUGCAGCAAAGGAAGAGGAGUUACUCACUGCUGAAUUUGUCAAGGCAAUGUUACAGAGCUGUUAUUUCCCUGUGUAUCACAUAUGUUUUCAUGACUGGCACAUUGCUGACAUACUUCUGUGUCAGUCAUGAAGACUAACACCUGGUAUUUCCAUCCCAUGGUAUAUGCAAGAGGAAUAAACAUUCAGUGGGACGGACUCACCACCUUCCCCACGAAGUCUGGCAGUGUAGGGAUGUGCACAGAGGCAGUUUUUAUAAAACAGCUGACAUGCUGCAAGUUUACAUCCUACAGUUUGCAUCCUGCAGUUUCCUAUUCAUCUGCUCAAAUCAAAAUGCCGAGUCUUGCAAUCCAUCCUUAGAAUAGGGCAAGCUGAGUAAUCAUACAGCUGCUUGCUCAGAGGUGGCUGAGUAGGAGAACUUGCACAGGAAGAAUAUAAGCUUGCCUCCACAGCUGUGAAGUUCAAUAAAUUUAGCAGACUGCAAACUACUUAUGAAUUCAAUUUGUUAGCAAGGACACUUUUUUUUUUUUACUAUUGAAGGCUUUCAUAUUUUCCCACAUGAUCACAAGUUCUUAAAGAGGGGUUGAGGUAAGAAAUAAUGUAUGUUAUCAAUUCUUUAUAUUGAAUUUGGCAGAUGCCAUGAAAUAAGGAAUUUUAUAAAUAAGAUGAUAUUAAUUUACUGUACCAAUAGAAUGUUUAAUCAGAGUCAUUGUAUGCCACACACAUUUUAAAAAUUUCAAACAAGUACAGAAAUUCAAAGGCAUUAAUAACGGGUUGGUCUGCCAAAGUCUGCCAUAAUCAGCCUGAAUUUGUGUCAAAAUUGUUUUCCAUAAAAAUGAGGAAAAAAAUGGAAAAGCUAAAUUAAGAUAUAAGGCCAAAGAAUAUAUUCAAAUUCAAAUUUACCUUGCUUUCACUGAUGGAGAGUGGAUCAGUUCUACAAAAAUAGUAAAUUUUGUAUUACUUUAAAUUAUCAUUAAAAAGAUUGCUGUUGAGUAUUUUACACAAUUUAAAUCAGUCUGCUUGUAUGAGAUGUAUAUACAGUGUCUAAAAUAAUGUUCUUAACAUACUGGAUUUGGUUGUUUUCACUGCAUAAAUAUUCUAAUACUUAAAGAGGGACCCUUAUUUGCUGAUGUUUCUGAUUUUUAAACACACUCUAGGCAUUUUUCAUAGGUUUUUUUCUAACAUAGCUUCUCUCUUACCAAAAAUGUGUACUAUUUAAAGAAAGCAUGACUUCUGAAAAUGUUGCUUUAUUUAAAGUUAUCAGAUUAAAAAGAUCAGUUUUCAAGGAAGUUUAUCUGUUGCAUCAGAGUGCUCAAUGGAGACCAUGUGUUGUGUCCUGGAUGAGGAGAAGACUCACUUCUCAAACAGAGGAGACACAUCCUGUAACAUGAUGGAGCAAAGUGCUGCUUGUAUUAAAAUUAGAGCCUCAAAGUUUUCUGCAGCCUUACUGCAGCUGGAAUGAACAAAGUCCAAGGGUGAGGGAAAG